UUCAUCUUUUUGGCUAUUUUAAAGUAACUAUUGCUAAAUGGUUGUUGUCAGUUGAUCAGUUGAUUAAUUAAGUCUAAAUUGUGAACUCUCUUUAAGGCUAUUAAAUAAAUCACAUUAUUGAUCAACAUCAGCAUUUAUCAACCUUAUUGUUGCUGGUCAAAGGUUGCUGAAUAGGCUCAGCGUGACUUUAAAAGGUAUCAUCAUCAGUCUGGUCAUCAUUUAUCAACAACCUUUUUUUUGUGGGCUAACUGUAAAUAAGUCUAAAUGAUCAAGUUUUUUUUAAAUCAACUGACCAAUCUGGACCACACUGUUGUAGUUGUUUAUUCUUGAUUGCUUGAUGAUCAAUCAAAAUUGUUACCAUGAAAGGUUGCGAUUAUGAUUAAGAUGAAUUAAGUUGACGUCAUUAAUGUACAUCAAUACAUUAAGUUGAAAACAAGGAAUCAAAAAAUGAUGCUUCAUUUAGACUGCUCUAUCAUGAAAGAUUGUAUCAGCUGACUACCUUUUUGAACCGCCAAAUUAACGGAUUGGUAAAGAGACUCUUGUAUUGUUUUAAUUAAGUGCCUUUGUUAAAAGUUGAAGUAAUUUAAAUUGUUAAUUUCAUAUUGAUCUAUCAAAUUGUUAAAUAAUUCAAGUGAUAACUGUUAAACUAAAUCAGUUUGUCAAGUAGAUUGGUAACAAAAUGAUUGUUUCUUGGUCAGGUUUUACCAGCCAUUUUGAUGUUAUCUGAUGUCUCCUAAUUCUUGUCAAUUUGUAUCAAUAUGUCAAUUCUGUGUACUUUACGUGAUACAUUUUAUCAACUUUUAUCCGAUGACCAGCUUAUGAAAUGCUUGAAAAAAUCAUGCAUAAAUUGACAACAGUAUGAACUCGCGUUUGGUUGACAUUACAAAGGAUAGUUACGUCUCUUGGUUACAUCCCUACCAGAUAUUGAGAUGGAUAAUAUUACCUAAAAUAUGCGUGGUCAAGACAACUGUCACUGGUCCAGCUACCACUAACUAUCAGUCAGCAAUUGCUUAAUUUAUGGAAUAUUUCAUGGAAGAAUCAAAGUCAAAUAGCAAAGUACCGUGCGUCUUUGGAUAAAAGAUCAUUACAUCCUCACUGUGGUCACAUUUUCAUUGGUCAUUUCGCUUUCGUUUGUUGGUUGAUAAUGAUAGCUGAUUAUCGUUGUUAUUGGAAUAAAUUUUGUCAUAUUUGACUUUCCAGGCCACCCAAUCUCUUCAAUGUUCACUAUCAUCAACAUCAAAGAUUAUUGAAUGUUGCCUGGUUUUUUUCGCAACGCAAUUUUUUGCCGGUAUCAUUUUGUUAACACUUCACUACGUUGACUAAAUUGAAAGGACUUGAAUCACUCAAUGGAACAGAUAAGUGGCCUUCCAAGCAAACAAAAAAAGCUAAAUAUACAAUAAGAUGGAAAAAAAUACAUGUGAAAAAUUAACUUACCCUGACCCUCUCUUGGCUUUCACCUGGCUGUUUGUAAACACUUUGAUUGUUGUUGCAACAGUUGUCGUUUUUUGUCACAUGAAAUUUAAGAUUGACAAAUCAUACCUUUUCUUAAUCAAAUUAGAUUGACUAUUAUAACAGACUAAAAAGAUUGAACAAACAUGAUACAAAAAACAGUUAUGAGUCUGGGUCAAUUAUUAUGUAACUAAACCCUUAUUUUUAAAUCAAACCGCAACCUAAACCAUCAUUAUUGCCAUCGACAUCAACCUCAUCGUAAUAAUCGUUAUUAUUGAGGUCAAUCGGAAUUAAUUCUUACUGGUGAAAUUUAAUGAUAAGAAAUCAUUGAUCAGAUUCCCAUAUACACUACAUGACAUGAUUAACUAAUCACCGGUAUAUGAUAAUUCAAUUUAUACGAGAUUCAACCAAAUUUUACCAAUCAUCAUAAUUUACAUCAUUAUUAAGAAGUAAUCAUCUUCAAUGAUUCCAAACAGAUUUACAUUUAUUUAUUUCUUCACCCAAUAUACAUGUAAUAUCAAGAUAUGCAGAUUAAUUUAAAUCACUCUUCCCGAUCAGAUUAACUUGACUGCAUCAACAAUAAACAACAUGGAAGCUUUAAAAUGGACAAGAUUGACUUGAAUACAAAGUGAACCCAAAUACAAAUUGAAGUCACAAAAAGCAAAUAAAUCAAAGCGUAUUGACAGUAAAUCCUGAAAAUUUGGCUUGAAAUGAAGAUAACGAUUGAUUAAUUAGCAAAUGAUUGGUUCAUCGAAUUGAUUUUCUCGGAUUCAGCUCAAAAUCAAUUAACUUGAAACAUUUGUACUGGCAAUCAAUUUACCGUAAAAUAUCAAAUACAUUGUAAAACAUGUUAAAUUGGACUCAUUCAAUCAGCUGGUCAAUUUAAUAAUGGACAAAAAAGUGUCAAGAAAUGAGCUGAAAAAUUGAAUCAAGCUCAAGAUGAUGGAAGUACAAUUUGAAUAAGAGUGACCAUUAAAGGGUCCAUUGUUGGUUGCCAAAAAAAGGCAAGAUUUACAAUUGAAAAGGAUGAUGAAGAUGAUGAAUAGAAGAGCUAAACGCCUUAUCUUCCAGAAACAUUUCUACCUUUAACAGUGAAAAAUCUUCUCUGAGAAAAUAACCUUAGGCAUUGAAACAGAGCGUAAACUUUUCUCAACGCUUCGUUGAACACAGCUUCAUUCAAGCUAAAUAUUAUAAUUUUAAAGGUAUAAUAAUACAAAGCAUCAUCAUAUUUAUCAUCAUCCUCAUCAUCUUCAUCAACUUCAUCACCUUCAUCAUCCUUAUCUUGCCAAAAAAAGAUCUUACCUUUUUCUUUGAGUUUCAAUGUUUUAUUUUUUGCUUUAACCUUUAAAGUGUUCAACUUUUUUUUGAUGCCUUUUCAUGUUGCUAAUAAAAUUAAGGGUAACAUUAAAAGCUUCUUAAUUUGAAUUGGA